AUACGUACUGGGCGAACGUUAUUCGGGAUCACUGGGCUUAAAGGGUGCGUAGGCGGUCCGGCAAGUCAGAAGUGAAAUCCCCCGGCCCAACCGGGGAACUGCGUUUGAAACUGCCGGACUUGAGUGCGAUAGGGGUGUGCGGAACUUCCAGUGGAGCGGUGAAAUGUGUUGAUAUUGGAAGGAACGCCGGUGGCGAAAGCGGCACACUGGGUCGCAACUGACGCUGAGGCACGAAAGCCAGGGGAGCGAACGGGAUUAGAAACCCUUGUAGUCC
rnacentral:rRNA from 1 species